rnacentral:rRNA from 1 species
GGUUAAGCGACUAAGCGUACACGGUGGAUGCCCUGGCAGUCAGAGGCGAUGAAGGACGUGCUAAUCUGCGAAAAGCGUCGGUAAGGUGAUAUGAACCGUUAUAACCGGCGAUGUCCGAAUGGGGAAACCCAGUGUGAUUCGUCACACUAUCGUUAACUGAAUACAUAGGUUAACGAGGCGAACCGGGGGAACUGAAACAUCUAAGUACCCCGAGGAAAAGAAAUCAACCGAGAUUCCCCCAGUAGCGGCGAGCGAACGGGGAGCAGCCCAGAGUCUGAAUCAGCUUGUGUGUUAGUGGAACGGUCUGGAAAGUCCGACGGUACAGGGUGAUAGUCCCGUACACCAAAAUGCACAGGCUGUGAACUCGAAGAGUAGGGCGGGACACGUGGUAUCCUGUCUGAAUAUGGGGGGACCAUCCUCCAAGGCUAAAUACUCCUGACUGACCGAUAGUGAACCAGUACCGUGAGGGAAAGGCGAAAAGAACCCCGGCGAGGGGAGUGAAAAAGAACCUGAAACCGUGUACGUACAAGCAGUGGGAGCACCUUCGGGUGUGACUGCGUACCUUUUGUAUAAUGGGUCAGCGACUUAUAUUCUGUAGCAAGGUUAACCGUAUAGGGGAGCCGCAGGGAAACCGAGUCUUAACUGGGCGUUAAGUUGCAGGGUAUAGACCCGAAACCCGGUGAUCUAGCCAUGGGCAGGUUGAAGGUUGGGUAACACUAACUGGAGGACCGAACCGACUAAUGUUGAAAAAUUAGCGGAUGACUUGUGGCUGGGGGUGAAAGGCCAAUCAAACCGGGAGAUAGCUGGUUCUCCCCGAAAGCUAUUUAGGUAGCGCCUCGUGAAUUCAUCUUCGGGGGUAGAGCACUGUUUCGGCUAGGGGGUCAUCCCGACUUACCAACCCGAUGCAAACUACGAAUACCGAAGAAUGUUAUCACGGGAGACACACGGCGGGUGCUAACGUCCGUCGUGAAGAGGGAAACAACCCAGACCGCCAGCUAAGGUCCCAAAGUCAUGGUUAAGUGGGAAACGAUGUGGGAAGGCACAGACAGCCAGGAUGUUGGCUUAGAAGCAGCCAUCAUUUAAAGAAAGCGUAAUAGCUCACUGGUCGAGUCGGCCUGCGCGGAAGAUGUAACGGGGCUAAACCAUGCACCGAAGCUGCGGCAGCGACACUAUGUGUUGUUGGGUAGGGGAGCGUUCUGUAAGCCUGCGAAGGUGACCUGUGAGGGUUGCUGGAGGUAUCAGAAGUGCGAAUGCUGACAUAAGUAACGAUAAAGCGGGUGAAAAGCCCGCUCGCCGGAAGACCAAGGGUUCCUGUCCAACGUUAAUCGGGGCAGGGUGAGUCGACCCCUAAGGCGAGGCCGAAAGGCGUAGUCGAUGGGAAACAGGUUAAUAUUCCUGUACUUGGUGUUACUGCGAAGGGGGGACGGAGAAGGCUAUGUUAGCCGGGCGACGGUUGUCCCGGUUUAAGCAUGUAGGCUGGUUAUCCAGGCAAAUCCGGAUAAUCAAGGCUGAGGUGUGAUGACGAGGCACUACGGUGCUGAAGUAACAAAUGCCCUGCUUCCAGGAAAAGCCUCUAAGCAUCAGGUAACAUUAAAUCGUACCCCAAACCGACACAGGUGGUCAGGUAGAGAAUACCAAGGCGCUUGAGAGAACUCGGGUGAAGGAACUAGGCAAAAUGGUGCCGUAACUUCGGGAGAAGGCACGCUGGUGUGUAGGUGAAGUCCCUGCGGAUGGAGCUGAGACCAGUCGAAGAUACCAGCUGGCUGCAACUGUUUAUUAAAAACACAGCACUGUGCAAACACGAAAGUGGACGUAUACGGUGUGACGCCUGCCCGGUGCCGGAAGGUUAAUUGAUGGGGUUAUCCGUAAGGAGAAGCUCUUGAUCGAAGCCCCGGUAAACGGCGGCCGUAACUAUAACGGUCCUAAGGUAGCGAAAUUCCUUGUCGGGUAAGUUCCGACCUGCACGAAUGGCGUAAUGAUGGCCAGGCUGUCUCCACCCGAGACUCAGUGAAAUUGAACUCGCUGUGAAGAUGCAGUGUACCCGCGGCAAGACGGAAAGACCCCGUGAACCUUUACUAUAGCUUGACACUGAACAUUGAGCCUUGAUGUGUAGGAUAGGUGGGAGGCUUUGAAGCGUGGACGCCAGUCUGCGUGGAGCCAACCUUGAAAUACCACCCUUUAAUGUUUGAUGUUCUAACGUUGGCCCCUGACCGGGGUUGCGGACAGUGUCUGGUGGGUAGUUUGACUGGGGCGGUCUCCUCCCAAAGCGUAACGGAGGAGCACGAAGGUUAGCUAAUCCUGGUCGGACAUCAGGAGGUUAGUGCAAUGGCAUAAGCUAGCUUGACUGCGAGCGUGACGGCGCGAGCAGGUGCGAAAGCAGGUCAUAGUGAUCCGGUGGUUCUGAAUGGAAGGGCCAUCGCUCAACGGAUAAAAGGUACUCCGGGGAUAACAGGCUGAUACCGCCCAAGAGUUCAUAUCGACGGCGGUGUUUGGCACCUCGAUGUCGGCUCAUCACAUCCUGGGGCUGAAGUAGGUCCCAAGGGUAUGGCUGUUCGCCAUUUAAAGUGGUACGCGAGCUGGGUUUAGAACGUCGUGAGACAGUUCGGUCCCUAUCUGCCGUGGGCGCUGGAGAAUUGAGGGGGGCUGCUCCUAGUACGAGAGGACCGGAGUGGACGCAUCACUGGUGUUCGGGUUGUCAUGCCAAUGGCACUGCCCGGUAGCUAAAUGCGGAAGAGAUAAGUGCUGAAAGCAUCUAAGCACGAAACUUGCCCCGAGAUGAGUUCUCCCUGAGACUUUAAGUCUCCUGAAGGAACGUUAAAGACGAUGACGUUGAUAGGCCGGGUGUGUAAGCGCAGCGAUGCGUUGAGCUAACCGGUACUAAUGAACCGUGAGGCUUAACCUU